rnacentral:tRNA from 1 species
UGGCUUAGAUGGGAAAGCAUCUGCCUGCAAUGCAGAAGACCCAGGUUCGAUCCCUGG